CCUUUUUAUUUAUCUUUUUUGACGUAUUAGUUUGUUUUAUAGUGAUUCACAUUAUAACACAAAGUUUAUAAUUGCUGUAUCCCUAUUUUGACAUUUUUAACUAUUAUGUCUGUUUGUUUUGUUCACACAUCGUUGUCAAUAUACUGUCAUUUUAUGUAGCUGUCUUACAAGUGAGAGGUUUAUAAAGCAAUAAAACCAAGAAAAUGCCUGAACCA
rnacentral:lncRNA from 1 species